AUCUAGGUGGCUCAGUGGGUAGAGCACUGGAUUUGGAGUCAGGAAGACUAGAGUUCAAAUCUCAUCUAAGGUA
rnacentral:tRNA from 1 species